GGAGUACAACUUAAGAAGGAAAAAAAAAAGCUUACAACUUGAAACAACACACUCUACUCUUCUCUCUCUAUCUCUAUUUUCGGAUCUCGCAGAUCUGAGUAUAAUAGACCCCUAGUACUCGCCAAUUCGACGCCCCCACCGAAUUUCUCCUAUUGAAGAUUCACUCUGAUCGUAAUAUUUUCGGCAUUCGAUCUGGCGAGUCGAGAUAUAUGCCAAGCUAUACUAAUUUCAGGUAAAGUGAGUGGAAUAAAAUGGAGAAGUCCUGCUCUCUGCUGAUACAUUUUGACAAGGGUACACCAGCUCUUGCUAAUGAGAUCAAAGAAGCACUUGAAGGAAAUGAUGUCCCCGCCAAGAUUGAUGCUAUGAAGAAAGCUGUAAUGCUUUUAUUAAAUGGAGAAACCCUACCUCAGCUCUUUAUUACUAUUAUUAGAUAUGUCUUGCCUUCUGAGGAUCACACAAUUCAAAAACUAUUGCUUUUGUAUUUGGAGAUUAUUGAGAAGACGGAUUCUAAGGGGCGUGUGCUGCCUGAGAUGAUCCUAAUCUGCCAGAACUUGAGGAAUAAUUUGCAGCAUCCGAAUGAGUACCUUCGUGGAGUUACUUUGAGAUUUCUUUGCAGGCUGAAUGAGGUUGAUAUAAUUGAACCUCUAAUUCCAUCUAUUAUGAGUAACUUGGAGCAUCGUCAUCCAUUUGUGAGGAGGUAUGCAAUUCUUGCUGUGAUGUCUAUUUACAAGCUCCCACAGGGUGAGCAGCUCCUGGUAGACGCACCAGAGAAGAUCGAGAAUGUUUUGACCACUGAGCAGGAUCCAUCGGCUAAGAGGAAUGCAUUUCUGAUGCUAUUCCAAUGUGCUCAGGAGCGUGCUAUCAAUUACCUCUUGACUCAUGUUGAUAGAGUCUCUGAUUGGGGCGAGUUACUUCAGAUGGUUGUAUUGGAUUUGAUUCGAAAAGUUUGCAGGACAAACAAAGCGGAGAAAGGGAGGUAUAUCAAGAUUAUUAUAUCAUUGCUGACUGCCCCUUCUGCUGCUGUUACCUAUGAAUGUGCUGGGACUCUUGUUUCCUUGUCUUCUGCCCCAACUGCUAUAAGAGCUGCAGCCAACACCUACUGUCAACUUCUUCAAUCUCAAAGUGACAACAACGUUAAGCUUAUUGUGCUCGAUCGACUGAAUGAAUUGAAAUCUUCCCAUAAAGAUAUCAUGGUUGAUAUGAUAAUGGAUGUCCUUAGAGUACUUUCCAGCCCGAACCUUGACAUCAGAAGAAAAACACUCGACAUUGUUCUUGAAUUGAUCACUCCCAGGAAUAUCAAUGAGGUUGUUCUCACACUGAAGAAAGAAGUUGUGAAAACUCAAAGCGGUGAGCUUGAGAAGAAUGGCGAGUACCGCCAAAUGCUCAUCCAAGCCAUUCAUUCAUGUGCCAUAAAGUUUCCGGAAGUGGCAAGCACUGUAGUCCAUCUUUUGAUGGACUUCUUGGGAGAUAACAAUGUUGCUUCUGCAAUUGAUGUGGUUGUGUUUGUCCGGGAGAUUAUCGAAACAAACCCAAAAUUAAGGGUUUCCAUUGUGACAAGGCUACUAGACACUUUCUACCAAAUUCGAGCAGCACGAGUUUGUUCCUGUGCCCUUUGGAUCAUUGGAGAGUAUUGUCUAUCUCUCUCUGAAGUUGAGAGUGGCAUUGCAACUAUCAAGCAGUGUCUUGGAGACCUACCAUUUUACUCAGUUUCUGAAGAAAGUGAAGCUACUGAUUCUUCAAAAAAGACUCAGCAAGCAAACUCCAUUACUACUGUGUCGUCUAGAAGACCAGCUAUCCUUGCUGAUGGAACAUAUGCUACUCAAAGUGCUGCCUCUGAAACUGUUUUCUCUCCUGCAACAGUUGUUCAAGGAUCUUUAACCACUGGAAACCUGAGAUCCCUUCUUCUCACUGGUGAUUUCUUCCUGGGAGCAGUUGUUGCUUGUACACUGACUAAGCUCAUUCUGAGGCUGGAAGAAGUUCAACCAUCAAAAAUUGAAGUGAACAAAGCAACGACAAAUGCAUUACUAAUCAUGGUCUCAAUGCUACAGCUAGGGCAGUCUUCUGUUCUUCCUCACCCAAUUGACAAUGAUUCUUAUGACAGAAUAGUUCUUUGCAUAAGAUUGCUCUGUAAUACAGGUGACGAGGUUAGGCAGAUAUGGUUGAGCUCUUGCCGAGAGAGUUUUGUCAAAAUGCUUUCUGAUAAACAGCUAAGAGAGACAGAGGAGAUCAAAGCAAAGGCACAAACUUCUUUCUCCCAGCCAGAUGACCUCAUUGAUUUCUACCAUUUGAAGAGUAGGAGGGGCAUGAGCCAGCUGGAGUUGGAAGAUGCUGUCCAGGAUGAUUUGAAGCGUGCCACUGGAGAAUUUGUCAAGGACGAAAAUGAUGCUAAUAAGCUAAACCGGGUUCUGCAGCUCACGGGAUUUAGUGAUCCUGUUUACGCUGAAGCAUUUGUAACAGUUCAUCAUUAUGAUAUUGUCCUGGAUGUCACUGUUAUAAACCGAACCAAAGAGACACUUCAGAAUUUAUGUUUGGAAUUGGCAACAAUGGGUGAUCUUAAGCUCGUUGAGCGUCCACAGAAUUAUACUCUAGCUCCUGAGUCAAGCAAGCAGAUAAAAGCUAAUAUCAAGGUGUCUUCUACUGAGACUGGAGUAAUUUUUGGUAACAUUGUCUAUGAGACUUCAAAUGUGCUUGAGCGGACUGUUGUCGUGCUCAAUGAUAUCCACAUUGACAUCAUGGAUUACAUAUCUCCUGCCGUGUGCAGUGAUGCUGCUUUUAGAACUAUGUGGGCUGAAUUCGAGUGGGAAAACAAGGUUGCUGUCAACACUGUAAUUCAGGAUGAAAAAGAAUUUCUUGACCAUAUUAUCAAAUCAACCAACAUGAAGUGCCUGACUGCACCGCCCUACUUAAAAAGGUUGGGUUCUCUGUGGGGCGUCGUGACCAGGAGGUCACGGGUUCGAGUCGUGGAAACAACCUCUUGCAGAAAUGCAGGAUCUGCUUUGGAAGAUGAAUGUGGGUUCCUUGCUGCUAAUCUGUAUGCGAAAAGUGCGUUUGGAGAGGAUGCUUUGGUGAAUCUGAGCAUUGAAAAGCAAUCAGAUGGUAAGCUGAGCGGUUAUAUUCGGAUAAGAAGCAAAACACAAGGAAUUGCUCUUAGCUUGGGAGACAAGAUAACACUCAAGCAGAAGGGAGGCAGUUGAUCUUGCCAAGUUGAUAUUAGUCUCUCCUAGAUAAUGCCGAAAACUUUGGGAGUUGGUGGGUGAUCAUGCGUAUCAUGAUCAUUUCACUAGGCACAAGUGCAUGACAUCUUGCUCUGUAGCUGUUAUGGGUUCUCUGCGUCAAGUUUCCAGAUCGAAGAGUUUCCUAGUUCAACUUCUGCCCAUCCUUUUGACAUUCUAAAUUGUUCAACUUGGAAUGCCUUGAAUAUCCUUUAUUUCUGGGUACAGCCAUCAGUAUUAGUCAUCAAUCGACAUGGCAUACUUCUGAGAGUAGCCUUCAAACCUUUGAGACCCCUGUAGAGUUACCCCGAAGUUGUUAGACAUGAAUCUGAGACUCCUCCACAUCUCCGAUUUGCAGCUUGGAGGAGUGCUGGGGUUAUUGAGAAAAUCUGUAGAAAUUGUGGUGCUGCACUUAUUUUUUAGGUUCAGAUAUGAGAAAUUCGGGCAUUUUACUCUUCUUUGAGGACAUGUUUUUGUAGAGAAAUUGGAAGGGAGUACUGCUUAAUCUUUCUGCUGUAAGUUAAAUGAAUUAAUACCCCAGUCAGAAUUUGGUCUAAGUAACUCUUUGCUUGUUACUUUCUUUACCCCUUAUUCUUGAUUUCCCUUGUUUGUAAAAGCAAAGGUCACCUCAAUUUCAGGUGCCAUAUUAUAUUAGAAUUUAGUUAUUUUCCUCA